CUCAUCAUGGCCUGUGAAUAAUAGACAUGUGAUUUAAAUGUCUAUCAGGCUUUAAGUCACAUGAGUGAAUCUUCAAAUCGAUUACCGAUGCAAUUAGAGUGAAGUUCAUAUUUCUCCCAACGUACACCUCCACAGAUAGGGAACGCUGUUGACAUUAGGCCCAUUUCUCCAAGAUAUACCACCCGGAAAGCUCCAAUUUCAUAGUCGACUGCCCCUUGAUUACCCCUCAGCUUCGUAAACACAGCGACUCAUCAGUGUCAUAUUAUCUGCAAACACAGCUAUUGGGUGCGAUGCACUGGUACCUGAGAUCACGCUAGUUAGUGCAAAGCUGAAUAUGUUGAAAUACCGCUUCACCACUCACUCGGAAUUAGCAGGAACAAGCUUGAGAGAUGGAACCACUAAAUUGAGAGAUGAGAGCCUGGCAAUGGAUCCAACCAAUCCAUGCUGAAGAUAGCAUCGCUAACUUUGGUGCUCUGAUAAAAUCAUCAAUCAUUAUCACGCGAAAAUGAGGAGGCUGAAUUAUCGUUACCUGCAAAGUGAUUUGAUGGCCGGAAUAGCAGGGCAUGAAAACCUGAGAUAUCAUGCAGAUAAGAUGAUGCCGGACACAUUCAGCCAACUUCUUUACUUCGAAUCUCAUGACUCGCGUCCUCCGGCUGACCUCGUCCUGUGGGGAAUCGAAAACCAAUUUGUCCCUCACUCGAUCAACCAAUUUCGGUAGCAUUUGGAGUCGAUGAUUGAGGAUGGCAAACUGGGCGCAUCCCUGUAUCAUAAUUCCAGGGGCAAUUGUGUCAUAAGCCGCAUGCAUACACGCAUCAAAUCCGUGGGCAAUGACUUGGUGCAUGUAAGCUGCCCAAAAUCUACCCGACGACGAGUAAUUGAACGGUAGCCAGGCGUGAUAAUAUAGCUGGUGCUUCGUCAAUACAGGCUGACACAGCAGUCAAUGAGAGGAGACAGUACCAGAAUGAGUGAAGAAAAUAAUAUGAUCUGUACAAUUGCAUGGACACCUCAAACCCAGAAGGAUCCGAACAUUUAUAAUCAGUAGAUUAUUUUUGUUCCUCGUCAAAUUCGUCACAAGUCAAAUAAACCGUUCACUUACUUAAUUAUCCGAGAAAAAUGCUGUAAAAUAGCCGUCUCCUGAUUAUCCUGAGACUUUUGUACGUCAACAAGAGGUCAAUCACUUGGGAGAGAGUGUUGGUAUAAACGAGAAUAAUCAUGACAACGGUGUAAAAACAAUAAAGUCUGGACUUCCAUCCUGGAGGCCAGUCGGGUGGAAGCCAAAC